rnacentral:rRNA from 1 species
GACGAACGCUGGCGGCGUGCCUAAUACAUGCAAGUAGAACGCUGAAGGAGGAGCUUGCUUCUCUGGAUGAGUUGCGAACGGGUGAGUAACGCGUAGGUAACCUGCCUGGUAGCGGGGGAUAACUAUUGGAAACGAUAGCUAAUACCGCAUAAUAGCAGUUGUUGCAUGACAACUGUUUGAAAGGUGCAAUUGCACCACUACCAGAUGGACCUGCGUUGUAUUAGCUAGUUGGUGGGGUAACGGCUCACCAAGGCGACGAUACAUAGCCGACCUGAGAGGGGGAUCGGCCACACUGGGACUGAGACACGGCACAGACUCCUACGGGAGGCAGCAGUAGGGAAUCUUCGGCAAUGGACGGAAGUCUGACCGAGCAACGCCGCGGGAGUGAAGAAGGUUGUCGGAUCGUAAAGCUCUGUUGUAAGAGAAGAACGAGUGUGAGAGUGGAAAGUUCACACUGUGACGGUAUCUUACCAGAAAGGGACGGCUAACUACGUG